rnacentral:rRNA from 1 species
GACGAUCGCUGGCGGCGUGCUUAACACAUGCAAGUCGAACGCGGAAGCUUGGUGCUUGCACUGGGUGGAUGAGUGGCGAACGGGUGAGUAAUACGUGAGUAACCUGCCCUUGACUCUGGGAUAAGCCUGGGAAACUGGGUCUAAUACUGGAUACGACAUGUCACCGCAUGGUGGUGUGUGGAAAGGGUUUUACUGGUUUUGGAUGGGCUCACGGCCUAUCAGCUUGUUGGUGGGGUAAUGGCUCACCAAGGCGACGACGGGUAGCCGGCCUGAGAGGGUGACCGGCCACACUGGGACUGAGACACGGCCCAGACUCCUACGGGAGGCAGCAGUGGGGAAUAUUGCACAAUGGGCCGAAGCCUGAUGCAGCGACGCCGCGUGAGGGAUGACGGCCUUCGGGUUGUAAACCUCUUUCAGCACGGAAGAAGCGAAAGUGACGGUACGUGCAGAAGAAGCGCCGGCUAGCUACGUG